rnacentral:piRNA from 1 species
UAUGGUAGGUUGCUGGGGAUAAGCCCCCAA